AUGACCAGUGGCACCCGGGCUCCGUGCUGUGGCUCCCCGUGGUCUCCUAUCUCUGCCGCCGAGGUGCCUGGAUCCGGGCCCAACUGGAAUCUCACCAGCAGCUGGGUUGCCCAUCGCAUCAUCCCACCGGCGCCCUUCCCCUCACCCACGGUGCAGUCCACGGUCGCGGACCCUCUACCCCUGGCUGCAAAAUAGGAUUCUGGCAUCUGUGCUUUCGACGAGGUCCUCAGCAGAUGGGAGACAACCUCUGGCUCGGCCUAUGUGCCCAAGACCCAUGGCGGGCCCUGCGCCCAGCCCAGAGCCCCAGAGCCUGCAGACCCCACGCGGACUGUGGGGAUCAAGGAUUUAGGAGAAAAGCUCAGACACCGCGGCUGGCGCCUCCCACUGACCACAAAAUACCAGAGCAGCGAGACGAAGGCGCAGUACACUGGCUAUCCCGGCCGGGACCCACGCGCCCCCGAAAACGUCGGGCUCCAGCCCUCGCAGCUCGCAGACCAUCACCUAGGGGGGCCUUUCCAGGCUCUAAUCCCCUGGACGAAGAACCCCGAGCUAUCUGGCUGCCCUUUCAUAGUAUCCGACCGGGGCGUCCUGGCCCGCCGGCAGCUCUAUCUGACCACCUCGGCGCGGGACUUUAGGUUCUACCCCGAGAAGGAGCUGUCGGGAUACCCCCGCAAAGACUCCCUGACCUACUGGAGCUUCGAAGAGAUGCCCCAGGUCAGGGGGCACGGACCGCAGCAGCCGCCCCGACCGCCACGGGUCCGCGUGCCCCGCGCCCGCCCGGUGACGCUGGCCGUGCCGCACGACGGGGCCUUGUCUCUGGCUCAGGAGUCCUACAGUCUCCCGCUGCAUCCGCUCCGCCCGCUCGACCGCUUCUGCCCGCUGGAGGCGCCCUGGGGCGGCCCCCACUGGAAGCCCCUGCCGGGCAUCCACAGCGUGCCGAAAGCCUACAGCACCGAGAACUCCAGCUACGGCAGCUUAAAGCCGGCGGUGGUGUGAGCUGGCCGGGCACGCCCCGCCCCGGACACACCCCCUGGACCGAGGGGCGGAGCCGACCCGGAUCCGGGCUCGCUGGGCGGAGCCGAGCCCGGGAGCUCCGCCCACUACACGGGGUCUGGACCGAGCCUGGGUCACACUCACUAAAUCUAUCCGCAAUGUGCGGGCGGUACUAGCCCAGAAACGCCCCGCGGCUUCGCCGGGAGGGGACUAAGUUCAGAAAAUGUUCAUGCAGGCUGUGGCCCCGGGGGCAGGACACGCCCCCUGCGGGUGUUUUAAAUAAUGAGUUAAAUAACCUGAA